rnacentral:rRNA from 1 species
CCUACGGGGGGCAGCAGUGGGGAAUAUUGGACAAUGGGGGGAACCCUGAUCCAGCCAUGCCGCGUGUGUGAAGAAGGCCCUCGGGUUGUAAAGCACUUUCAGUGAGGAAGAACGCCUGGUGGUUAAUACCCAUCAGGAAAGACAUCACUCACAGAAGAAGCACCGGCUAACUCCGGGCCAGCAGCCGCGGUAAUACGGAGGGUGCGAGCGUUAAUCGGAAUUACUGGGCGUAAAGCGCGCGUAGGUGGCUUGAUAAGCCGGUUGUGAAAGCCCCGGGCUCAACCUGGGAACGGCAUCCGGAACUGUCAAGCUAGAGUGCAGGAGAGGAAGGUAGAAUUCCCGGUGUAGCGGUGAAAUGCGUAGAGAUCGGGAGGAAUACCAGUGGCGAAGGCGGCCUUCUGGACUGACACUGACACUGAGGUGCGAAAGCGUGGGUAGCAAACAGGAUUAGAUACCCGUGUAGUC